rnacentral:lncRNA from 1 species
GCAAGAUUCCGUCUCGGAAAAAAAAAAAAAAAACAAAAACAAAAUAAAAUAAAAAAUAAAAAAAGACCUGGAAGUAUCUCUGCCCGGUGGUGUCUCUGAUCCUGCUUCUCCUGGUUGUUCUCCUCAGUGUGCUUCUGUCCAGAGGUAAGGCGGCUGAAUCAGGGGGACCAGGUGGCCCCGGGACAGCAGCCAUGAGGGCUCCCAACCUGUAGGGUGGGUCGGAUUCGGAAACGCUGGGAUAGGGGUGGAGCCGGAGGGGCUGCUGGUCGUGUCCCUGGGGGUGACCAUGGUGACACAGGAGGGAGCUGACCUCCUCACCAGCCUCAGAGGGAGGCAUGCGGGGGUGUGUAUGAACUGAAGGAGCAGAAUCAUUAGCGAGCAGGUUUGAGUCAUUGGUGAGCACCUCCCCUAAGCCCAGCCCUGAGCUGGGAUUAGAACCUCCAGGCUGCCUGCAUUCCCUAAACAGUCCAGACACACUGGAAUGAAAUUCCCUCCUUACUACUCACUAGCUGGUUGCUUUUAGACAAGAAACUUUAUGUCCCUGGGCCUGGGUUUUCUCAUCCGCAAAAUGAGUGGAACAUUUCAGAGCUCCAAAGUGCCUUGCCCUGGGGCUGGAAGAAAGUCUUGGACUCUGGGAGUUGGGGGAACACAGAGAAACCCCAGGGAGGUUCUUUGAGUGAGGGGAGCGUCUAGAACAUGCUGCUGGCGUCUCUCCCCAGUCUUGAGGAUGACGAAGGAUGUGCGGGAUGAAAAAGUGACACCGGGGCUGGCAGACACCGGACAUGACCGGGACUUCAUUCGGGGUGAAAUGUUCAGGCAAAUAAAGGUUGUCCAGGCACGCAAUGAGUUUUGCUCUUGGUGCCCGGGCUGGAGUACAA